UUCCAGCUACCUUUUCAACAGAGCUAAACUGAGUGCUUCUUAUUUUCAUAUUUAGGUAAAAUCUGUACAGAUAAAAUUCCAUAGUGCACUCACCAAAAGAUAGAAGAUUGAAUGCAAGUAAACCUUUUAAAGGGAGAAAAAAAAUGAAGAUAAAAGACCUUUUGUCAAGCUUGUUUUAACCACCAUACUGCAGUAAAAGGUGCUGAACUAUCUUUGGAUCCAUUCUUUGCUUUGCAUGCUGGUACCAGCCCCAGAACUGGACUCUGGGUAAUCUAUGACUGUUUCCUAUGAUGAGUGUCUUCAGAACAUAAAGACUAUCCUUCUCUGGACAGUGCCUUGCCUGUUGGUAUUGAGAACCUGUUAUGCUGUUACAGGGUCAACCAAUUAAAUUAGGGGAGUAUUGUUUUAACUCAUUUACUUAUAUUGCUUGUUUUAUAUGCUCUUGUAUUUGUGUUAUUUUUGUUGAUCAUAUUAGUUAUAAGAAGUCAUAUAGUUUUGUCCACAGAAAAGCAUGCCUUAUUGGUAUUAGUGCACAUUGUAGUUACUUAAACAAAAUAACCCUCUAGAUAAGCGUCACUCUAAGCCUUGCAGUAUUGUAACCUAUUGAAUGGCCCACUGAAAAUAUGUUUGCAUUUUUAUAGUUUAAAGAAAAUACUCAGAAUAUUUUAGACCCUCCACCCUAUGGAACGCAAUGAGGACAUGUCUCAGCUAGAAAUUUAUAUUAAUUAUACAGAGAAAUAUUUGUUUAGGGAGUAGCAUAAUCAUAGUUUUAUUGAUGGUAUAUUUUCUACCUACCAUGGCUCUUAUUGGAGCUAUGUUAUGAAAGCAAAUGUAUUUUUCCCUUUUAUUAAUUGGUAUGGUAUCUGCAAUUUGAAUUUGGUACUUCCAGAGGUUUGUCAAUGAAAGGAAUUAUCUUACCAUAAAGAUGUGUUUACCUUUAAAAGAUUUUGUAGUUUUAAAUGAUGUUAUGAUUGUAUUAUUUCCUCAUACAGGAGUGUGAGAGAAUUUAGGUUGCAUAAAAUAAUUAGUAAACUAUUAAAUGUUUAUAUCAGAUGAGAUUGUUGACUAUUAGGAACAUAGUUGGAGAAUUAUAAACAUUACAGAUAGUAACUUUGCAGAAUAAAGCAACACUAGGUUCUUUUAUUUUUAGUAGUUCCAAGUGACAGUGUAAAGAAAUUCAUUUUAAAGAAAAUAUUUUUAUUGACUGUUUUAUUUUUUCAUUUUUGUUACAGGGCAGGCCUUAGCAUAAGUUUUAGCAUAGCCAUUCAGCCUCUUGAUGGAGUCUAGCAGUUUUCACUUGCUUAGUAUUCAUGAAGUAUCAUUUAAAUUGUAUAGAGAAGCUGUAAGUUAUUCUCUGUAAAAGUAUUAAUGUAUUUAGUUUGUAUUAUAGAUCAACAAUGUUUUCUUGGUUUUAAAUGACAUAGGAUGAGUUAAGCUAAAGGAAUUGUGAUGCUUAAAAAAGGUGAAAGAAGUUUUGUUUGGACAUAAUUGUGAUUGUAUCGGGGUGUGUAGUCAUCUUGUGCUGUUUCCGUUUCCUUCUUAGACUCCUUCUGACUCGAGUGUCUGCUUGCUAUAGGGAUCAACUGGCUACCUUGUCUACCCCAUGAACAAACCAUCAGACUUCCAGCAUCUACCUGCGGAAGAACACUGGAUAAGCACCACUACUGCAAAUGAACUGUAUUAAAGCAAAGUGUCUGAGGAAGGUUGAGCGCUCUAAGAGGACAAAGACUUUUCUUAAAGUGAUCAGAGGUCACCUAGAGACAUUUGUGCUGUUCCCAUGUCACGCUUCACUGUGGAGAGGGUACAGAGCAAGGAACUGUUGGACAUAUUGGGGGGUGCUAGCAAUGCAGGUGGAGAAAUAAAAGAUGCAGCGUUGUUUGGGGGUAGAUAGGGGGCUGGUUGGGUCUUUGUGCGGAUAGACCAGUAGUUUGAGGAUGUUGGGAGGUAGACGGAGAGUAUUGGAGGGGCCGCACCUAUGUGCAGUGACAAAUUGUGCCCUAUUAGCCUAUAAAAUUAUACCACGACAUGUGAAUAUCUUUUCUCUAUAGUAUUCUCACAUAAAUUCAUGUUACCGUAGUAUUAGACUUAUACUGUUGUUAAAGGCUUUACUAAUUUUCUACGCCUUUCUAUUUUUGUGUUAUUCUGUUAGAAUAAAAGAGUGGUAUGUUAGGAAUUAUUGUUAGCAUGAGUAGCGCCAUCUUGUUCUUGCCCGCCAUUUUGUCUUUGGCAUCCAUCUUGUCUGAAUAACCUUUAUUAUAGUGGUUUAUUCUGUAGUGAAAAAUACAUGUUUGUUAUUAUUCUCUGCAAAGCUAGUUAACCUUGUAGGUGUUCCUGACGCAACGCCUGGAGGGUACUAUCUCUAUAAGAUGCUCAAAUAACCUUGUCUUCAUCCUAGAUGCACUCCUUAUUAUGACUAUAGAAAUAUUGUUUAUGAGCUAGUAUUUUUCCUGACAAACACUGUGUAAAACUGUGUAAAAUGACGCGGCCAUAACGUGUCAUCAUGUUAACCCCAUAUGCUGUAUCUGUUGCUUAUAAGACAUGCUUUGUAUCUUUCAAUAAACAGAAUAGUUUUAGAUCA